rnacentral:lncRNA from 1 species
UACUGUGCUCAACAGCCAAGGUUUAGCUCAGUUUCUGGUCUUACUUGCCUGUUUUUUUGAACAAAGUGCUCUGCAUUUCAUUUUUAUACUGGUCCUUGCAAAUUCAAUGGCCAGCUCUGAGGCUGAGUUCGUGACUACAAGGAGGUCCAUUCCUCUCUCUUCUUUUUUUUUUUUAAGAUGGAGUCUCAUUGAGUUGCCCUGACUGGAGUGCGUGGCAGAGGAGACGAGGGUGAGGGAGGGGAGGGGGAUUCUCUCAAAUGUGCUGAGAGGCUCAGGAGGGUGAGUGGUGGUGGAGAGGGGAGUUCUGGACUAAAGUUCGGGAGGUUUCAGGGUGCUAACCUUGGAGAGCAGUUUUAGGAGGGUGGUAGAGGGAGAAGCUGAAUUGAGGAGGUGAUGGAGAGGGUUGAAAAUGCUCUUUGGGGAAGUAUUUUUGAUCCUUCCCUUUAAAAAUACCUUUUAUUUUCACAAUGUCGUUAAAAAAUCUGGCUGGCAUAUGGCAAUGACAAAAACAGGCAAUAUAGUAUUUUAUGAAUAAGCUUACUUUAAUAGAUCCAGGGGACUGUUUAAUGCACUGAAGAAUUAUUUUUCAGGCAUUGUGUGAUGUCCAAAUUAGGUUAAUAUACCUCUGAGAAGUGAAUCAGUUACUCCUCGUUGGAUAGUAAGGUCAGAACAACUGUUCCUGAAACCUUAGUACACACUAGCUGAUAAGACACUGUUGCCCAUAAUGUCUAUUUAUUGGAUCAGCAAUUUAUAAGUCCCACAUUCUCAUGCCACAUAGCUCUACACAGCUGCAAAAAUAUACCAUAGCUUGCAGGUGAUCAUUGGUUUGAUAAAAGAUAUUGAGUGGCUCAUCUUGUGAAAGUGAUCUUUGAUAUAAGAGGAGCAUCAGCGGGGAAGCUCACAUGUCCCAUGGCUCACACACCAGAAGGUAUUUGUGUCUUGUCAUUGUCUGUCUGGCAGUCCACAGCAAUGGCUUUUUCAGAGAGGCCUGUUUUGUGGUUAACUGUGUGUACCUUUCUUUCCAGGCUAUGGCAAAAAAAAUCCAGUUAUGUCCUUCUUGAGUCUGUGGUCUUAAAAAAAAAAAAAGAGAAAAAAGAUAAUUACUUAAACAGACUUUUUUUUUUCCUUAUUCUAAUUUUGUCCUGAUCUCUACAUAAGGUAGGUUUUGAGGUUUUAUGAACAUGGUCUGUGUAUUAAUAUUAAAGCUCUAAUUUAUGAAAGUAGCCUUCAUAUCUGGUCCCUCUUUCCUCCAUCCCUUUCCCAAUUUUAAACCUGUUACAAUUUUAGCUCAGAAAUGCAGAGAAGAAAAUUGAAAGCGUCAAAGGGAAGGUAUAAAAACAUGAAACUGUGAUGGUGUCUACAUCCCACCCUUUGGACCUCAUGGGGCUGGCAGCACGGGGUGAAGAAUGGAAUGUUUGUCUAUUAUUCUUCAUGCCCUUUCCAGGGGAACC